ACCAAUAUAUCCUGAAAGGUACAGUGGACGAUUAUGGUGAAGGUCCCCUAGCAACAAAAAAGUCUUCUCGAGAAAAUGUGAGGUCUGGCUCCUCCGCCUUCAUCUUCUCUUGUAUGCCUCGGUUCUCUUCUUGAGGUACAUCAUUCACCUCUAUCUGGUGUACAUGGGGUGCAUACUUAUCGGCUUCUGAUAGAGCCUUGACACUUGUCGGAUGUCAGGUGACAACCUCAACAAGGUAAUUCUAGCUGGUACAUUAGCUAGUUGUGCUAACAAAUCAUAAUCGAAAGGCUCAUCUAAGCCGGGCAAUGCUUUCUUCUUCACCCUAGAGUUUACAUUCUACCGUCUCGGGAAAUUUUCGGUGGUAAUCAAGCCCGGAGCGGGUUCUGUCUACAUCAUUUAGACUGACUAGGGUCGGUGUCUCUCUCUUCAGAAUCAGACUUUGAAGCCAAGAUGGAUAUGGCACACUUACCAUGUUAGAGGACUGUACAAGUGACAUAGGCAAGCAAUCUCCAAGUGUCAUAGGGGUUCUUGCAGUGCCCCCGGACUGAGGAACCGUACAAGACUUUUCGACCAAAGGACAAGUCUGUUCCUGCUUCGUUUUCGGUUCCCGAUUCAAUCUUCACCUUUCCUGAAUGAAGAAAGAGAGUGAAAGAGAAGAUAUCAGUGCAAUAGGUACAGAGGUACGAGAAACAGUCUUCGUUCGGUUCGGCAGAAGAAAGCCGAGAAAACAAAUAGGAAGAGCACUAUGCAAGCUUAUAAUUAAGCAAAUAUAUAAAAGCUAUCACCACCUCAAGCAGUAAAACAAAGUCGUUAUGGCUAUGUUACUAACAUAGACAACUAUGAAUGGUAUUCAUUGACAGGAGUGACCGCUUUCUAGUCGUAGUUGGUACCGCCCCUGUUCACUUCAGCAUGCAAGGAACACCUUCGGGAAGAAUCAAAGUUUUUCUCCUCUGCAAAGCUAUCAAUGCUUUAUUCAAGAUCUUUAGCAGUCGAUCGUUCAUUCUCCCUCCCCAGUGGCUUUCGAAAGCUCGACAUGAAAGAAUAAAGAAAAUAGGAAAAAAGAGUACGGGGAUAUUUAGCUAUUUAGCCUUAGAGAAAGGUGACUUGGUAAGACCAGAAUCUGGAACAGAGAUUGGAUGAAGAAUUGCUUUUUCUUUAGCGGGAAUGGCGCCACCUUUUUAUUUAGCAACUGCCGCCCCGCUUAAUAGGAAUAGGAUGCACUUACCGACCGGUGAAAGGAAAGAGCGGGGUCAGCCAUCGACAAAGGAAUACCGAACUCUACCCGUGUGAGGCCUCGUAGCCAGGGAGAACCAUAGAAUCGGAAGGUUAUAUUAGAACAUCGGUGGAAAGGUCGAGAGGGCACCUAAAAAUAGCUUUAGAAGCCAGAUUAGGAAAGUGUUUCCCGAGUUCGAGCAAAUGCAAUGCGNNNN
rnacentral:lncRNA from 1 species